rnacentral:rRNA from 1 species
AACGAACGCUGGCGGCAUGCCUAACACAUGCAAGUCGAACGAUUGCCUUCGGGUGAUAGUGGCGCACGGGUGCGUAACGCGUGGGAAUCUGCCCUUAGGUUCGGAAUAACAGCUGGAAACGGCUGCUAAUACCGGAUGAUAUCGCGAGAUCAAAGAUUUAUCGCCUGAGGAUGAGCCCGCGUUGGAUUAGGUAGUUGGUGGGGUAAAGGCCUACCAAGCCGACGAUCCAUAGCUGGUCUGAGAGGAUGAUCAGCCACACUGGGACUGAGACACGGCCCAGACUCCUACGGGAGGCAGCAGUGGGGAAUAUUGGACAAUGGGCGCAAGCCUGAUCCAGCAAUGCCGUGUGAGUGAUGAAGGCCCUAGGGUUGUAAAGCUCUUUUACCCGGGAAGAUAAUGACUGUACCGGGAGAAUAAGCCCCGGCUAACUCCG